AGAGUUUGAUCCUGGCUCAGGACGAACGCUGGCGGCGUGCCUAAUACAUGCAAGUCGAGCGGACCGAACGAGAGCUUGCUCUUGUUUGGUCAGCGGCGGACGGGUGAGUAACACGUGGGCAACCUGCCCGCAAGACCGGGAUAACUCCGGGAAACCGGAGCUAAUACCGGAUAACACCAAAGACCGCAUGGUCUUUGGUUGAAAGGCGGCUUCGGCUGUCACUUGCGGAUGGGCCCGCGGCGCAUUAGCUAGUUGGUGAGGUAACGGCUCACCAAGGCGACGAUGCGUAGCCGGCCUGAGAGGGUGACCGGCCACACUGGGACUGAGACACGGCCCAGACUCCUACGGGAGGCAGCAGUAGGGAAUCUUCCGCAAUGGACGAAAGUCUGACGGAGCGACGCCGCGUGAGCGAAGAAGGCCUUCGGGUCGUAAAGCUCUGUUGUGAGGGACGAAGGAGCGCCGUUUGAAUAAGG
rnacentral:rRNA from 1 species